GGCACAAGCGGUGGAGUAUGUGGUUAAUUCGAUGCAACGCAAAGAACCUUACCUGGUCUUGACAUCCCGGAGACCCUUAGGAAACUAGGGGGUGCUUCCAUCUGGAAGAAUCUGGAGACAGGUGCUGCAUGGCUGUCGUCAGCUCGUGUCGUGAGAUGUUGGGUUAAGUCCCGCAACGAGCGCAACCCUUGCCUUUAGUUGCCAGCAGUUCGGCUGGGCACUCUAAAGGGACUGCCGGUGUUAAACCGGAGGAAGGUGGGGAUGACGUCAAGUCCUCAUGGCCUUUAUGACCAGGGCUACACACGUACUACAAUGGCCGAUACAAAGGGCAGCGACACUGCGAGGUGAAGCCAAUCCCGUAAAAUCGGUCUCAGUCCGGAUUGGAGUCUGCAACUCGACUCCAUGAAGUUGGAAUCGCUAGUAAUCGUGGAUCAGCAUGCCACGGUGAAUACGUUCCCGGGCCUU
rnacentral:rRNA from 1 species